rnacentral:rRNA from 1 species
GAUGAACGCUGGCUACAGGCUUAACACAUGCAAGUCGAGGGGAAACGACGGGGAAGCUUGCUUCCCCGGGCGUCGACCGGCGCACGGGUGAGUAACGCGUAUCCAACCUGCCUCUGACUGAGGGAUAACCCGUCGAAAGUCGGCCUAAUACCUCAUGGCAUCGUCUGCGGGCAUCCAACGACGAUUAAAGAUUUCAUCGGUCAGGGAUGGGGAUGCGUCUGAUUAGCUUGUUGGCGGGGUAACGGCCCACCAAGGCUACGAUCAGUAGGGGUUCUGAGAGGAAGGUCCCCCACAUUGGAACUGAGACACGGUCCAAACUCCUACGGGAGGCGGCAGUGAGGAAUAUUGGUCAAUGGGCGGGAGCCUGAACCAGCCAAGUAGCGUGCAGGAUGACGGCCCUAUGGGUUGUAAACUGCUUUUAUGCGGGGAUAAAGUGAGGGACGUGUCCUUCAUUGCAGGUACCGCAUGAAUAAGGACCGGCUAAUUCCGUG